rnacentral:rRNA from 1 species
UUCCAGACUCCUACGGGAGGCAGCAGUGGGGAAUAUUGCACAAUGGGGGAAACCCUGAUGCAGCGACGCCGCGUGAGCGAUGAAGUAUUUCGGUAUGUAAAGCUCUAUCAGCAGGGAAGAAAAUGACGGUACCUGACUAAGAAGCCCCGGCUAACUACGUGCCAGCAGCCGCGGUAAUACGUAGGGGGCAAGCGUUAUCCGGAUUUACUGGGUGUAAAGGGAGCGUAGACGGCUGUGCAAGCCAGAUGUGAAAGCCCGGGGCUCAACCCCGGGACUGCAUUUGGAACUGUGUGGCUGGAGUGUCGGAGAGGCAGGCGGAAUUCCUAGUGUAGCGGUGAAAUGCGUAGAUAUUAGGAGGAACACCAGUGGCGAAGGCAGCCUGCUGGACGAUGACUGACGUUGAGGCUCGAAAGCGUGGGGAGCAAACAGGAUUAGAUACCCCAGUAA